GGGUUCGAUUAUGGCUCAGAUUGAACGCUGGCGGGAUGCUUUAAAAACUGCAAGUCGAACGGCGGCACGGACUUCGGUCUGGUGGCGAGUGGCGAACGGGUGAGUAAUGUAUCAGACGUGCCUAGUGGCGGGGAUAACUACGCGAAAGCGUAGCUAAUACCGCAUACGCCCUUCGGGGAAAGCGGGGGACCUUCGGGCCUCGCACUAUUAGAGCGGCCGAUAUCGGAUUGGCUAGUUGGUGGGAGUAACGGCUCGCAAGGCGACGAUCCGUAGCUGGUUUGAGAGGACGACCAGCCACACUGGGACUGAGAUUUCGGCCAGACUCCUACGGAGGCAGCAGUGGGGGUACGGACAAUGGGGGAAACCUGAUCCAGCCAUCCCGCGUGUGCGAUGAAGGCCUUCGGGUUGUAAAGCACUUUUUGGCAGGGGGAAAGAAACGACACGGGAUAAUACCCCGUGCAACCCGAAGCGGUACCUGCAGAAUAAGCACCGGCUAACUACGUGCCAGCAGCCGCGGUAAUACGUAGGGUGCAAGCGUUAAUCGGAAUUACUGGGCGUAAAGCGUGCGCAGGCGGUUCGGAAAAGAAAGAUGCCGAAAAUCCGAAACGCUUUGGAACUGCAUUUUUAACACCGAGCUAGAGUGUGUCAGGGAGGUGGAAUUCACGUGUAAGCAAAAUUGAAAAUGCGUAGAUAUGCGGAGGAACACCGAUGGCGAAGGCAACCUCCUGGGAUAACACUGACGCUCAUGCACAAGCGUGGGGAGCAAACAGGAUUAGAUACCCUGGUAGUCACGCCUAAGCGAUCAUCAACUAGCUGUUGGGGCCUUCGGGCCUUGGUAGCGCAGCUAACGCGUGAGAUUGACCGCCUGGGAGUACGGUCCCUUAAGAUUAAACUCAAGGAAUUGACGGGGACCCGCACAAGCGGUGGAUGAUGUGGAUUAAUUCGAUGCAACGCGAAAAACCUUACCUACCGCCAGCAUGUCACUGGAAUCCCGAAGAGAUUUGGGAGUGCUCGCAAGGAGAACGGAACACAGGUGCUGUGGCUGUCGUCAGCUCGUGUCGUGAGAUGUUGAUUAAGUCCUGGCAGAGCGCAACCCUUGUCAUUAGUUGCUAUACGAAAGGGCACUCUAAUGAGACUGCCAGUGACAAACCGGAGAAGGUGGGACGAAUGAUCCUCAUGGCCCUUAUGGGUAGGGCUUCACACGUCAUACAAUGGUCGGGACAGAGGGUCGCCAACCCGCGAGGAGCCAAUCCCAGAAACCCGAUCGUAGUCCGGAUCGCAGUCUGCAACUCGACUGCGUGAAGUCGGGAUCGCUAGUAAUCGCGGAUCAGCAUGUCGCGGUGAAUACGUUCCCGGGUCUUGUACACACCGCCCGUCACACCAUGGGGAGUGGGUUUACCAGAAGUAGUUAGCCUAACCGUAGGGGGCGGUUCACACGGUAAGUUCAUGACUGGGUGAAGUCAGCCAACAAGGUAG
rnacentral:rRNA from 1 species